rnacentral:lncRNA from 1 species
UUAUCUUAUUUUCAAAUGAGAAACCCUAAAAGUUAAACAACAGCCGCCAACGAAGUUCCUUCCUCCUCUCUAUUAUGCAGACACAAAACAAAAGCAAACAAAUCUCAGAUUAUCUUCUACUCCUCUCUCAACAGAUCUCGUUCGCGAAAACAGAUUAAUCGAAUGGAGCCGGAGGUGGUUAAGCGUAGAGGAAGGAAGAGGAAGAGGAAGGGAGGAGAAGAUGUGGUGGUUAACGGACGGAGGUGAAUCGGAGGAGACGGCGGUGCGGUGGUGCUCGAAGUGGUGCAGUUUGAUACGGUGGUUGGCGUAGUUGUGGUGUCCUCCGACGGUGUACGGUGGUUGGAUUUAAGGUGAUGGUGUGAUCGGAGCGAGGGGCGGCGGCGGAGAAGGGUGAACGACGGUGGUGGAGGGUGAAAGAUGGUGAAGUGAUUGUUGUACGGAUGGCGGAGGCGUUUGAGUGUUGUACGGAUGGCAGAGAUGACCGGUGGUCGGAGAUGUAAGGUGGAGAUGGGUAGGGUUCGAAAUUUUAAAGAGUUUGCAGUAAGAGGUUUAUUGUAGGGUAGGGUUGGUUUUUUUUUUGUGGUUUUGUUUUUCUUUUGUUUGAAGAUUGUGGAUGGAAAGUUGAAUCCACACAAAACUGUUUCUACUCUUUCUUAAGAAAAAUAAUUUCGCCG